ensembl:lncRNA
CCUUCCAGCAGAGUGUCCUUACUCAGCAGAGACCAGACCUGCCCCUCAUCUUCCAGCUCAGCGUCUGGUGUGUUUUCACAGCACCUCAGCAGGACAACAAAAGACUGAGACUGCCAGCACCAAGAUAAUUGCAAUAAUUUGAGGACGUGAGAAAGAAGCAGCACAUCUUUUGUCUGCCAUAGUUCGUGACUGCAUGAAAAGGACGUUGGUUAUUCUACAUCCGAAAGAGUGGAAGGCUCUUAGUCCUCAGGGCAAUGAGCAGGAUGCUGUAACUCUGUUCCUUUGGGCACAUGGAGCUUUAGAACUUCCUGUAAACCCAAGUUCAAUGCUGUUACUUUGCUUAAAUCUCACGUCUCUGAGUAAGUUAGUCAUCAUGCUACAAUCAAGGAGCGUAGGUAAGCAAGUUUCAUCUAGAGAACUAGAGUGCAUGCCCACAGAAUUUCAUGCAGAAAGAAAAUAAUCCCUCAGAUCCAUCAGACUGGUUUUUACAUGGAAGUUCCUGAGCAUGAAUGUGUGUGAUUUAAUCUGCUUCUCAAACCCAGGACACCUGAACAUUUGCCCGAGAUCCUGAAGGAAAAGAGAGAUCAUGAAAGGACAAAGCAAACUUCAUCACCAGCUCCUUUAUGAUGGUCUCUGGUGGUAGACAUGACAACAUGGAGAACGUGCCUACAUCAGACGGUCCCCAGAGCCCAGAACCCCAGCAGGAGGACCACAACCACAGCCAGGGGCCACCCAACCUGGGGUGUCAGACUUCAG